UUUUAUGGCCAUGCCACCCUUAACAAGCCUGAUGCCUGAUCUUGGAAGCUAAGCAGGGUUAGGACUAGUUAAUAUCCCAAUGGGAGACCACUUACGGAAACCAGGUACCUUUGACAU
rnacentral:rRNA from 1 species